ACUCCUACGGGAGGCAGCAGUAAGGAAUAUUGGUCAAUGGGCGAAAGCCUGAACCAGCCAUCCAGCGUGCAGGAAGAAGGCCCUAUGGGUUGUAAACUGCUUUUAUCAGGGAAGAAACCUCUGGAUUUACUCCGAAGCUGACGGUACCUGAAGAAUAAGCACCGGCUAACUCCGUGCCAGCAGCCGCGGUAAUACGGAGGGUGCGAGCGUUAUCCGGAAUUACUGGGUUUAAAGGGUGCGUAGGCGGCCUUGUAAGUCAGGAGUGAAAGUUUGCAGCUCAACUGUAAAAUUGCUUCUGAUACUGCUUGGCUGGAAUUAGGAUGAGGUCAGCGGAAUGUGGCAUGUAGCGGUGAAAUGCAUAGAUAUGCCAUAGAACACCAAUUGCGAAGGCAGCUGGCUAGACCUGGAUUGACGCUGAGGCACGAAAGCGUGGGGAGCGAACAGGAUUAGAUACCCUGGUAGUC
rnacentral:rRNA from 1 species